CUCCUAUACAUUAUUUUAUUUUCGCUAUUAAACCCAGCACAGUUUCUGUACUUCCAUUUUAUAAAUAAAGAAGAGGAGGUUCUAAGUGGCCAAACAGGCACUGAAACCUGUAUUCUGUUUUAUGCAGCAUAAAAUAGCUAUGUUAUUAAAGAAAAAGGUAAAAAGAGUUGCUACUUAGUUACGUAGGAUUUUAUUUUAGCAAUAUCUUUUAUCAUUCUCUGUACUCAAACUAAAAUUAUACUACUAUGGACAGUUCCUCUCAUUUUUGAUCGACUCUGCCAAAAAUAAGUUACUGUUUUCUUAAACCAGGUAAGAAUAAAUUGGAGGAAGAAGUGAGUACUUUGGAUUUGUCUAAAGCAGCUCUACUAUGACAUCACAAUAGUCAGAAGCAGGAUGGGCAGGUCUCCAUUGAUCAAGUGAUCAUAUAGUAAAACCAGAAUCAGUCAUCCAAAACUGGUAACUUUACAGAGAAUUGUAGAAAUAAGACAGUAGGGGUAGGGAGGAAAAAGGAAACCAAUUUCUGUCACUAUCGAACUGUGGCAGAGUAUUAAGCAAUAAGAAUCUGUUUUGUGUCUUUAACAUAGAAUUUGCACUCUUCUGAAGAAUAUCAGUUCUUUUGCAAGUUUGAUAUCUGCCUUCAGUUAAAUCUAGACUUCAGAUGUGGAGAUGUUUUGUGAGAAGCUUUGAAAUCCACUGGCAUACGCCAUUCCUUCAUUCAAGACAAAUAUGUGGGAGAAUCAGCAGGAGUCCAUUCUGGCUUCCAGAGAGUGCCCUGAAGCAGUCCACGGGAAGGUGCUGGAAGAGGCAGCCGCAGAUGGUCCAGUGUCCAACUUAGUGUCAUGCACAGAGUUGGGACUCAGCCUCUGUUGCCUGAUUGAUAAUGAAGACAGUCACCGUGGUCAACCCCACUGUAAUUGAACGUUUAUUUUUCAUAAAGUCAAUGUAAAAUAUGUCUACUGCACCUUUGUGAUAACAAAUGCAUAAAAAGCUUAAAACUCC
rnacentral:lncRNA from 1 species